UACGUAGGGUGCAAGCGUUGUCCGGAAUUAUUGGGCGUAAAGAGCGUGUAGGCGGCCUUACAGGUCAGCUGUGAAAACUCGAGGCUCAACCUCGAGACGUCGGUUGAAACCGUAUGGCUAGAGUCCGGAAGAGGAGAGUGGAAUUCCCGGUGUAGCGGUGAAAUGCGCAGAUAUCAGGAAGAACACCCGUGGCGAAGGCGGCUCUCUGGGACGGUACUGACGCUGAGACGCGAAAGCGUGGGGAGCGAACAGG
rnacentral:rRNA from 1 species